GGGAAUGUGGCUUAGUGGUAGAGUGCUUGUCUAGCAUGCAUGAAGCCCUGGGUUCGAUUCCUUAGUACCA
rnacentral:tRNA from 1 species